CCAGACUCCUACGGGAGGCAGCAGUGAGGAAUAUUGGUCAAUGGCCGAGAGGCUGAACCAGCCAAGUCGCGUGAGGGAUGACGGCCCUAUGGGUUGUAAACCUCUUUUGUCAGGGAGCAACGCCGGCUACGUGUAGCCGGACUGAGAGUACCUGAAGAAAAAGCAUCGGCUAACUCCGUGCCAGCAGCCGCGGUAAUACGGAGGAUGCGAGCGUUAUCCGGAUUUAUUGGGUUUAAAGGGGGCGUGGGCGGGCGGUUAAGUCAGCGGUAAAAGCCCGGGCCCCACCCCCGGCGAGCCGUUGAAACUGGCUGUCUUGAGAUGUCGAGAAGUAUGCGGAAUGCGCGGUGUAGCGGUGAAAUGCAUAGAUAUCGCGCAGAACUCCGAUUGCGAAGGCAGCAUGCUGGCUCCACACUGACGCUGAGGCACGAAAGCGUGGGUAUCGAACAGGAUUAGAUACCCCCGUA
rnacentral:rRNA from 1 species